GUUUGAAGUUUCCUCGGUAGUUAACUGCAGCCGGUUUAUGAAUUCUUCGGCAGUUAACUGCAGAGGGA
rnacentral:pre_miRNA from 1 species